GUGUCAGCAGCCGCGGUAAGACGGAGGGUGCUAGCGUUGUUCGGAUUUACUGGGCGUAAAGGGCGCGUAGGCGGCCUUCUCAGUCGGGUGUGAAAGCCCGGGGCUCAACCCCGGAACGGCACCCGAGACGGGUUGGCUGGAGACCGGGAGAGGAGGGUGGAAUAGCCAGUGUAGAGGUGAAAUUCGUAGAUAUUGGCUGGAACACCGGUGGCGAAAGCGGCUCUCUGGCCCGGUUCUGACGCUGAGGCGCGAAAGCGUGGGGAGCAAACAGGAUUAGAAACCCUUGUAGUCC
rnacentral:rRNA from 1 species